UACGGAGGGUGCAAGCGUUAUCCGGAUUCACUGGGUUUAAAGGGUGCGUAGGUGGGCUUGUAAGUCAGCGGUGAAAUCUCCGGGCUUAACCCGGAAACUGCCAUUGAUACUAUAAGUCUUGAAUUAUCUGGAGGUAAGCGGAAUAUGUCAUGUAGCGGUGAAAUGCUUAGAUAUGUAAUAGAACACCGAUUGCGAAGGCAGUUCACUAUGCUUGUAUUGACACUGAGGCACGAAAGCGUGGGGAUCAAACAGG
rnacentral:rRNA from 1 species